rnacentral:rRNA from 1 species
GACGAACGCUGGCGGCGUGCUUAACACAUGCAAGUCGAACGGAAAGACCCUGCUUUUGUGGGGUGCUCGAGUGGCGAACGGGUGAGUAACACGUGAGUAACCUGCCCUUGACUUUGGGAUAACUUCAGGAAACUGGGGCUAAUACCGGAUAGGAGCUCCUGCUGCAUGGUGGGGGUUGGAAAGUUUCGGCGGUUGGGGAUGGACUCGCGGCUUAUCAGCUUGUUGGUGGGGUAGUGGCUUACCAAGGCUUUGACGGGUAGCCGGCCUGAGAGGGUGACCGGCCACAUUGGGACUGAGAUACGGCCCAGACUCCUACGGGAGGCAGCAGUGGGGAAUAUUGCACAAUGGGCGGAAGCCUGAGGCAGCAACGCCGCGUGCGGGAUGACGGCCUUCGGGUUGUAAACCGCUUUCGCCUGUGACGAAGCGUGAGUGACGGUAAUGGGUAAAGAAGCACCGGCUAACUACGUG